rnacentral:rRNA from 1 species
GAAAGUAAACAAGGGCGCAUGGAGGAUGCCUAGGCUCUCGGAGGCGAAGAAGGACGUGAUAAGCUGCGAAAAGUUACGGUAAGGCGCAAAUAGCCGUAGACCCGUAAAUAUCCGAAUGGGGCAACCCGGCCAGCAAUGGCCAUACCGCCAAGCGGUAAGCCAACGCGGGGAACUGAAACAUCUAAGUACCCGCAGGAAAAGAAAAUAACAAUGAUUCCGCCAGUAGUGGCGAGCGAACGCGGAACAGCCCAAACCACCCGUGUUACGGCACGGGUGGGGUAGAAGGAUCCACGACACGGCAAGAAAUAAGUUAGCGGAAUACGAUGGAAAUCGUAGCCAGAGACGGUGACAGCCCGGUACGCGAAAACCGACAGAAGCCCAGUGGACACCUGAGUAACCCAGGACACGAGAAAUCCGGGGCGAAUCAGCGGGGCCCAUCCCGUAAGGCUAAAUACUCCCGAGAGACCGAUAGCGAACCAGUACUGUGAAGGAAAGGUGAAAAGCACCUCGAACAGAGGAGUGAAAUAGUCCCUGAAACCGUCUGCCUACAAGCGGUCGGAGCACAUUAAAGUGUGACGGCGUGCCUUUUGCAUAAUGAACCUACGAGUUACUUUCUCCGGCAAGGUUAAGGGCUUCAGGCCCGGAGCCGAAGCGAAAGCGAGUCUUAAUAGGGCGUGAUAGUCGGAGUGAGUAGACGCGAAACCAAGUGAUCUACCCUUGGUCAGGAUGAAGGUUGGGUAACACCAACUGGAGGUCCGAAUGGGUAUACGUUGAAAAGUGUUCCAAUGAACUGAGGGUAGGGGUGAAAGGCUAAUCAAACUUGGAGAUAGCUCGUACUCCCCGAAAUGCAUUUAGGUGCAGCCUUUAUUUAGUAUAGCAUGAGGUAGAGCGACUGAUUGGAUGCGAGGGCUUCACCGCCUAUCAAGUCCAGAUAAACUCCGAAUGCGUGCUAUAUAUUGAUAAGGAGUGAGGGCGCGGGUGCUAAGGUCCGCGUCCGAGAGGAGAAGAAUCCAGACCAUCAGCUAAGGUCCCCAAAUAACAGUUAAGUUGAACUAACGAAGUCGGACUGCAGAGACAGCUAGGAUGUUGGCUUGGAAGCAGCCAUUCAUUUAAAGAGUGCGUAACAGCUCACUAGUCGAGGAGUCCGGCGUGGAUAAUACUCGGGCAUAAACUGUUUACCGAAGCUAUGGAUGUAGAAAUACAUGGUAGGGGAGCAUUCCAACGGCGUCGAAGGUGAAGGAUGACCUUUGCUGGAGCUUUUGGAAACGCAAAUGUAGGUAUAAGUAACGAUAAAGGAGGUGAGAAACCUCCUCGCCGAAAGACUAAGGUUUCCUGAUCAACGUUAAUCGGAUCAGGGUAAGUCGGGACCUAAGGUUAAGCCGAACGGCGAUACCGAUGGAAGAAUGGUUUAAUAUUCCCAUACUACUUUAUGGAGCGAUGUGGAGACGGAGAAGUGAAAGUCCUGCCAUCUGACGGAAUAGGUGGUUGAAGAGUGUAGAUGUAGAUUCCUGUAGGCAAAUCCGCAGGGAGAGUCGACCUUGAUAGUAUGCCGCGUGCUUGCACAAGGCAAAAUGGACGUAAUCAGGCUCCCAAGAAAAUCCGCUAAGCAUAUUCAUAAAGUACCCGUACCGUAAACGGACACACGUAGUUGGGUUGAAAAUACUGAGGCGCUCGAGUGAUUCACGGUUAAGGAACUAGGCAAAUUGACCCUGUAACUUCGGGAUAAAGGGUCCCUACUGAGAGGUAGGGCGCAGAGAAUAGGUCCAGGCAACUGUUUAACAAAAACACAUGGCUGUGCGAAAUAGAAAUAUGAAGUAUACAGCCUGACACCUGCCCGGUGCUGGAAGGUUAAGAGGAGAGCUCAUCGCAAGAGAAGGCUUGAAUUGAAGCCCCAGUAAACGGCGGCCGUAACUAUAACGGUCCUAAGGUAGCGAAAUUCCUUGUCGGGUAAGUUC